UAAACCAAACAAAAUAUCCAGAAGGUAGCCAACCACAGAAAUGCAUAUAGGGUUUUUGUGACUACUGAGGAAAUGAGUUAGAAUAUGAAUGGCUCAGGCCUCCUAGGUUAAAUUUGAAGUUUUUUUGUUUGUUUGUUUGUUUUUUACUUUUGGUUUCAUAUUUUUUCAGUUCGUUUUAGUAAAAACAUAAUAUAUAAAAGGCAAUGCCACCAUGUUCCCCUCCUGGGGGUGAUCCAUCAAGCCAAUGUGGGCUGCUCCAGUGUGAUUCAGAGCUCAUGAUGCGAUAUGUGCAGGGCAUGGUCUCAAAGAUCUGUUCGCUUACUGCAAAGUUUGUCUUUAACAUUGUCAGCCUCUCGGGAAAAGAAUUCAAUGAGUUCAUCCUCGUAUUCCUCCACAACGCUCUCACACGCAAACUUGAGGGUGCCACUGAUACCUGAGUCAAUUCAGAUGCCUUGUAGGUCCAGUUCACUGGAUUCUCCAUUCCGGCUCACUACACGUACAUAGUUCUUGCGAUGGGUGGAAGGAUCAAUCUGUUCCCCAUACUCCUUCAUCCGGUCAGAUAUCUCCUCCAGCAGCUCUGUGCGGUGGGCCUCUGAGAGGGCAUAAGGCACGUCCACCGCUGACUGGCUGCCAUCUGGAUUGAUACGGAAAGGUCCCAUCUGAAUGGUUUUCUUGGGGUCCACCUUGGCAAUUUCCCAUUCUAGUUCAUCCACCAGAGCCCUGCACACUCCAUAGGGGAGAUCCUGGCUCCUCCGAGCCCAGGCAGUUCCCAGCAUGGCCCCCAGAAGCAGGGCCACCAAUCCCAGGCUUUCAUCUUUAUUGUAAUGGGGUCGCUCCACCUCUGCGCCCAGGGCCGCCACCGUGGCCCAGGCACUGGAAGACCUCUGGACUCUCACUUUGGCCUCAGUGGCUCCCGAAACUACACCAGGCUGCGCAGAGCAGGGCUGACUGGGAUUCUCCAGAGCACUUCGCUGCUUGCCACACACGGGGUGUCCUGGCGACCGCCUGACCCAGCUCCCUGGGCGCCAACUGGUAUCUAAGUGGGUCUCGGGUGUGCUGCGGUGAGCUUGUUUUUUUUUUUUUUUAAAAAAGCUAGUAAGUUGAAAAAAAUGGGCGAAGGCAGUUUGGUUUAGUGUGUUCUGUGGAACGUUUGCC
rnacentral:lncRNA from 13 species